rnacentral:rRNA from 2 species
UGGCUCAGAUUGAACGCUGGCGGCAGGCCUAACACAUGCAAGUCGAGCGGAUGAGAAGAGCUUGCUCUUCGAUUCAGCGGCGGACGGGUGAGUAAUGCCUAGGAAUCUGCCUGGUAGUGGGGGACAACGUUUCGAAAGGAACGCUAAUACCGCAUACGUCCUACGGGAGAAAGCAGGGGACCUUCGGGCCUUGCGCUAUCAGAUGAGCCUAGGUCGGAUUAGCUAGUUGGUGAGGUAAUGGCUCACCAAGGCUACGAUCCGUAACUGGUCUGAGAGGAUGAUCAGUCACACUGGAACUGAGACACGGUCCAGACUCCUACGGGAGGCAGCAGUGGGGAAUAUUGGACAAUGGGCGAAAGCCUGAUCCAGCCAUGCCGCGUGUGUGAAGAAGGUCUUAGGAUCGUAAAGCACUUUAAGUUGGGAGGAAGGGCAGUAACUUAAUACGUUGCUGUUUUGACGUUACCGACAGAAUAAGCACCGGCUAA